CGAACGCUGGCGGCGUGCUUACCACAUGCACGUCGACCGGAAAGGCCCUGCUUGCAGGGUACUCGAGUGGCGCACGGGUGAGUAACACGUGGGUGAUCUGCCCUGCACUUCGGGAUAAGCCUGGGAAACUGGGUCUAAUACCGGAUAGGAGCCAUUUUUAGUGUGAUGGUUGGAAAGUUUUUUCGGUGUAGGAUGAGCUCGCGGCCUAUCAGCUUGUUGGUGGGGUAAUGGCCUACCAAGGCGGCGACGGGUAGCCGGCCUGAGAGGGUGGACGGCCACAUUGGGACUGAGAUACGGCCCAGACUCCUACGGGAGGCAGCAGUGGGGAAUAUUGCACAAUGGGCGCAAGCCUGAUGCAGCGACGCCGCGUGGGGGAUGACGGCCUUCGGGUUGUAAACUCCUUUCGCUAGGGACGAAGCUUUUUGUGACGGUACCUAGAUAAGAAGCACCGGCUAACUACGUG
rnacentral:rRNA from 1 species